rnacentral:rRNA from 1 species
AAUGUAACGCUGGCGGCAGGCUUAACACAUGCAAGUCGAACGGAAACGAUACUAGCUUGCUAGUAGGCGUCGAGUGGCGGACGGGUGAGUAACGCGUGGGAACCUACCCUUUAAGUUGGGGAUAACAUAUGGAAACGUAUGCUAAUACCGAAUAUGCUCUACGGAGUAAAGGUGCCCUCUUCUUGAAAGGUAUCGCUAAAGGAUGGGCCCGCGUGAGAUAGCUAUUGGUAGGGUAAAGGCCUACCAAGGCGACAGAUCUCUAGCUGGUUUGAGAGGAUGAUCAGCCACACUGGAACUAGAGACACGGUCCAGACUCCUACGGGAGGCAGCUAGUGGGGAAUAUUGCGACAAUGGAGGAAACUCUGAUGCAGUCCAUGCCGCGUGUGUGAAGGAAGGCCCGAGGGUUGUAAACGCGACUUAUACAAGUACGCGAGGAACAGUGAGUAAGAUUAAUACUUCUGCUCUGUGACGUU